UAGGUGAUGUGGCAUUAACUCUACUGCCCAAAAAUGUAGGUACCAUUUUCUGCAUUUUAAACCGGCUUUAGUUGUGUUAUAAAAUUUUGAUAAUGUUUGGUUGAUGGAUUGAAAUUAUGUUUCUAGAGCUAGCAAUUUCUAUGGUGAUUAAAGAGGUUACGGUGGCCCUAUAAUUGAAGUCAAUUAGAUCAAAUUUGGGAUAAACGUUGGUUUACACAGACAUGCAUACUUUACAAACACGGGUGGGUACGUUGAUUUUCCGUGAAUUUCAUACAAAUGCCAAUAAUCAACUUAUUUUUACGGUGUACUACAUCUUCAUUGCAAAUUAAGAAAUUAGAAAUUACAUGCCUAUUUUGAAUAUGUUCCACAUCGACUGAUGAAUUUUAUUUUAAUAUUCCUUUCAUUUGUUUUGGAAAACUAAAGUCAUUUUGAUUAUGCAUUUCCUUUUUGUUGUUUGAAGUUUAUGUAACAUGGUAAAUAAUGUGAUUAUGUAUUAUCCAUUGUUUUGAAAGAGAACACAUUAGUUUAAAUGUGAGUGAGAGAACAAAGUGGUUAUAGUUUUGGGAUUUUUUUUGCUAGAUACAUUGAAAGUUUAUUCCAUAUUAUUUAUAAAGCAAAUUACAACUUUGAAUCUCACUGCACAGUUCAAAGUUCAUAUUAGUAUUUUUGGUUAUAUGAUAUACAUUAGAACCAAAUUUUGGGAAUCAAUUAAGAUUUUCACAAAGAUGUGUUUGAUUUUAAUUCACGUUUUUUCAAAUGUUUGACAUUUGAAAAGCUAUAAUAUUCAAUUAGUAAAAUUUGAUCGUACAAUUUGUUAUUUUAGUUUUCUUUAAGGUUGAGCAAGUAACUUUAUUAGAAUAUUUUUGUUUCUAUUUAGUGUGAUUCAAGUCGUAUGUUAAAUCUUAUUAUCACUUAGAAUCAUGAUAAACUUGAAAAGCCUAAUUCACCCGUUUAACACUUUGCCAGAGCUUCCCCAGAUGUUAAUCUUCAUUUUGUUGCGGAUGCAUUUGCCAAGAGGAAAAGAAGCAAGAGGCAACAAGUGUUCAAAGUUUGACUUCGACAAG
rnacentral:lncRNA from 1 species